UGUAAUGAGAUCUGUUGCCCUUU
rnacentral:piRNA from 1 species